CUGAACAACCUCAACUCUCUCAGCCUGUCUUCAUGAGAGAGCGGCUCCAGCCCCUUGAUCAUUCUCAUGGCUCUCCUCUGGACUUGUUCUAAUAUUUCCAUGUCCUUCUUGUGCUGGGGGACCCAGGGCUGAACACAGUAAACAGAUUUAAAAUAGAUGUUAGGAAG